AACGAACGCUGGCGGCAUGCCUAACACAUGCAAGUCGAACGGAAACGCCCUGCUUGUUUGCGGUGCCCGGUGGCCCAACGGGGGAGUAACACGUGAGUAACGUGCUCUUCACUUUCGGGGAACUUCAGGAAGGUGGAGUUAAUCUCAUAUAGGAUCUCCCGCUGCAGUGUGGGCGGUGGAUAGUUGAGGCUGUUGGGGAUGGACUGGCCGCUUAUCAGCUUGUUGGUUGGGUAGUGGCUUACCAAGGCCUUGAAGGGUAGCCGGCCUGAGAGGGUGACCGGCCACCUUAGGACUGAGAUACGGCGCAGACUGGAACGGGAGGCAGUGGUGGGGAAUAUUGCACAGUGGGAGGGAGCCUGAUGCAGCAACGCCGCGUGUGGGAUGACGGCCUUCGGGUUGUGAACCGCUGUAGCCUGAGACGAAGCGUGAGUGACGGUACUGGGUAAAGAAGCACCGGCUAACUACGUG
rnacentral:rRNA from 1 species